rnacentral:rRNA from 1 species
UACGUAGGGCGCAAGCGUUGUCCGGAAUUAUUGGGCGUAAAGAGCUCGUAGGCGGUUUGUCGCGUCUGGUGUGAAAACCCAAGGCUCAACCUUGGGCUUGCAUCGGGUACGGGCAGACUAGAGUGCGGUAGGGGUGACUGGAAUUCCUGGUGUAGCGGUGGAAUGCGCAGAUAUCAGGAGGAACACCGAUGGCGAAGGCAGGUCACUGGGCCGCAACUGACGCUGAGGAGCGAAAGCAUGGGUAGCGAACAGG